UUAUAAAAAUAUUUAGCCACACCCACCCAUUUAGAAUAUUAAAUAAUCUUGCUUAUACUUGCACAACCUUCAUAUUUCGAGUAUAAAAUUUCAUACUCAUAAAAUUUCAUACUUCAUAAAAUUUCAUACUUCAUAAAAUGUUUAUUAAAAAUCAUUUUUUACUACAUAAUUUAUACGUAAAUAUUCAAGCAAAAUCAGUUCAACUUCUUACAGAACAUGAAAGUACAUAUUAAAAAUGGAUUUUUAAAAUUUUUUUCACAGCUGCAGUAAAAGGAGUUGCUGACACACUUGGCCAUGUCGUGGAUGGCGGUAAGUUUUGAGUCUAUAUUCAAUUACAAAAUUUCCUAAUUUAAAAUAAAAACUGAAACUUUUAAUCUAGCAAGUCUUUUUAUGAUGAUAAGCUAGUUAGUUAAAA